rnacentral:lncRNA from 1 species
AAAAGACUCAAACAGCCAUUAGCAGCCAUACAAUAAAAAUAAGCAUCACAAAGAGAUGGCUAAUUUUGCACCUAUAGGUCAGGAGCAUCAGAACCAUGGAGAUCAUGGCGCCGGAGGUGGGUUUUCUGGAGGUGGUGGUCAUGGUCACGGGCGCAAGGAGAUCAUGGCGCCAGAGGUGGGUUUACCGGCGACGGUGGAAUAAGUUGUGACACAGGAGGAGGAGGAGGAGGAGGAGGGGGGUUUCCGGGUGCUAGUGGAGGUGUUAUUUAACAUUUGAUACAAAAUCAUAUGGACCAUAUUGUUUACACGGUGUAUGUACUAUGUAGUCAUCACCAUCAUUUAUCAGUGAUUGGAUGGUGAAAUUUUUUAUUUAUUUCACUUGUACAAAGGGAUGUAUUACUCUUCUUUUUUUUUCUUUUUUUCUUUUUUUUUAAGUUAUUUUGAGAAUUCCUUUCAUAAGCAUAAUGAUCUGUUCCUUCAAAAAAUUGAAGUUUACCUAAAUUUAAUACCAUAAUUGAAAUUGAUGACAUUCGGGAUGGUUACCCCUUUUGCAUGACUGGAAUAUUGUAUC